ACACCUUAAACUGAUAUAAGGAAAAUAACGUCCUGGGAUGACGCCCGGCUUCUUGCUGGAUCAAUAGUUGUGCGGUUCCAGGUCGUACUCUGGAUGACCUGCCUAAUUUGCACGGUGCCUCUGGGUAAAGCAAUCUGCCCG